AAACACUAUGCUGGCUGCUUCUGAACAUUAUUAUGUGUCACGCCAUCAUUCACUACUUGGAUGACUUCCUCAUCAUAGAACCUAGCACACGCACACCCACCGAUAUCCUCAGCACCUCUGCACUUUUCUCCACCCUCGGGGUACCGUUAUCUCCCACUAAAACAAUUGGCCCCACCACUAAACUCACUUUCUCGGGCAUAGAGCUAGACUCUGCUACCUUCCGCGCCAGCCUUCCCACUGAAAAACUCAUCCGCC